UACGUAGGAUGCAAGCGUUGUCCGGAAUUACUGGGCGUAAAGGGCGAGCAGGUGGCAUUACAAGUCUGAUGUGAAAUCUCCCGGCUUAACUGGGAGGGGCCAUUGGAAACUGUAGAGCUGGAGUGCAGGAGAGGCUAACGGAAUUCCCGGUGUAGUGGUGAAAUGCGUAGAUAUCGGGAGGAACACCAGUGGCGAAGGCGGUUAGCUGGCCUGUAACUGACACUGAGGCGCGAAGGCUAGGGGAGCGAACAGGAUUAGAAACCUGGUAGUCC
rnacentral:rRNA from 1 species